AGGUUGCCAUGUUUGAGGAAGUAUUAUGUGUUGCUGUGCUAUUUAUUGAUGUGGAUCCCACCAUACGUUCAUUGUUCAGGAGGUUCACUAGACUAAGCAGCCUUUUGGGUUCUUCUAAGCUUCAUUGUCUUUCCAUCAAUACCUGGUGGGCCGGACUAGGCUCAAAAUGCCCGGGCCGAUUUUUUGUCCCAGUCCAGCCCUGCUGAGCAUCUUCUGUGGGCUGCAGAUACCACCUCAUGAUACCACAAGUGGUGAAGGCACUGGAAAAAUGCAGACUAUCCAAGAAUCAACCAGAAAGGACACAGAGAGGGAAAUGGUCUGUGGCCACCACCUGCAAAACCAUUCCUAAUUAGGGGUCGUCUUGGUAAUUGCAUCUCCCGUCCUCCUAUUGUCUGUCCAAUUUGCACAACAGCAGGUGAAACUGAUUCACAAUCAGUAUUGCUUCCUAACUUGACAGGUUGAUAUCAGGAGUAUGAUUGACUUUGAGUUACACUGUGAUGAUUAUGUGUUCCCUUUAUUUUUUUUUAGCAGUGUAUUUUACUUUCAGUUGGACAUUACUGUUCCUCUCACAUGAACAUCCUGUGGUAAUGUGUACAUUUUAACCAUUUCAGGCUGAUGGUGUCUUCUAGAAACCGGACAUUUUUUAGAACAAUAUUUUUUUCAAAUAACUUUUUUCAAUUAAAUUUGUUUUUAAUUGCAGUCCACAAUAAAUUCUCAGAUUCCUGUCAAAAAUAGUUGUCAGUUUUUCCUCACAAAGUGUGUUUGAUUUAACAAGUCUU